CAGAUACCUCGGCGGGGCUUGCGGGCCGCCUUGGGGAGGGGGGGGGGGGGUGGAUCCAGAGGGUUCCUGGAGGCUGAGAUCCCCUGCCCCGCACCCUUCUGAACCUCUUCAGUCUCCAAAGGUGGAGGAGAUCCUCUGCUGGCGGAGGGAGAAAAUGUCAGAGCCGCGAAACUAGUUAACUAUUCCCGCGCAGAAAAGACAGUGAAAAUGAGGGAAGAAGGUUCAGGAGACUGGAGUCAUCUGGGAAGGGAAAAGAGAAUGGGGAGAAGCCUCCACCCCAUCAAGGACUAGUGAUUAUCCCCGCAAAGCUCAGAUCGGCGUCCCCCACACCAACAAUAGCGGCUGAGCGCGAGGCCUGGAGGCCUGGAUACCUCGCCGCCGGCGCUAUGUUCUAAUUGAAAACAGCAACAAUAUUAAAAUCACACCCUGUUUAUCUUUAUGACUCAAAAUAACCCGCAAAUAAAUUUAAUUAAAUAUUCA
ensembl:lncRNA